GACGAACGCUGGCGGUGUGCUUAACACAUGCAAGUCGAACGGUAAGGCCCUUUCGGGGGUACACGAGUGGCGAACGGGUGAGUAACACGUGAGUAACCUUCCCUCAUCUCUGGGAUAACAGUCGGAAACGGUUGCUAAUACUGGAUAUGAGCUUGCAAGGCAUCUUGUGGGUUGGAAAGAUUUUUUUGGUUGGGGAUGGACUCGCGGCCUAUCAGCUUGUUGGUGAGGUAGUGGCUCACCAAGGCUUCGACGGGUAGCCGGCCUGAGAGGGCGACCGGCCACAUGGGGCCUGAGGGAGGGCCCAGAAUCCAACGGGAGGCAAUGGGGGGAAAUAUGGCAGAACGGCGGGGAGUCAGUGACAGAAGCCCCGGGGGCGGAAUAACGGCUUAUGGGGUGAAAACCAAUUUCAAUGGUAAUAAGCAUUUUUGGAAGGGAAGUAAUAAGAAAAGCACGGCUAACUUAGGG
rnacentral:rRNA from 1 species